rnacentral:rRNA from 1 species
GUUCCGACCUGCACGAAUGGUCUAAUGAGUUGAACACUGUCUCCUCCACGAGCCCGGUGAAAUUGUAGUAUCGGUGAAGAUGCCGGUUACCCGCCACGGGACGGAAAGACCCCGUGAACCUUCACUACAACUUUGCAUUGAUUUUGAGCAACAAAUGUGUAGCAUAGUUGGGAGACUUUGAAGUUCCUACGCUAGUAGGGAUGGAGUCAUCGUUGAAAAUACCAACCUUUUGUUGCUUAGAACCUAAUCUCUACCAAGUAGAGAGACAUUGCAUGGUGGGUAGUUUGACUGGGGUGGUCGCCUCCUAAAAGUAACGGAGGCUUGCAAAGGUACCCUCAGUACGGUUGGUAAUCGUACAUAGAGCGCAUUAGUAUAAGGGUGCUUGACUGUGAGGCAUACAGGCCGAGCAGGAGCGAAAGCUGGCUAAAGUGAUCCGGUGGUUCUGUAUGGAAGGGCCAUCGCUCAAAGGAUAAAAGGUACUACGGGGAUAACGAGGCUGAUCUUACCCAAGAGCUACAUAUCGACGGUAA